UAGGGAAUCUUCGGCAAUGGACGAAAGUCUGACCGAGCAACGCCGCGUGAGUGAAGAAGGUUUUCGGAUCGUAAAACUCUGUUGUUAGAGAAGAACAAGGACGUUAAUAACUGAACGUCCCCUGACGGUAUCUAACCAGAAAGCCACGGCUAACUACGUGCCAGCAGCCGCGGUAAUACGUAGGUGGCAAGCGUUGUCCGGAUUUAUUGGGCGUAAAGCGAGCGCAGGCGGUUUCUUAAGUCUGAUGUGAAAGCCCCCGGCUCAACCGGGGAGGGUCAUUGGAAACUGGGAGACUUGAGUGCAGAAGAGGAGAGUGGAAUUCCAUGUGUAGCGGUGAAAUGCGUAGAUAUAUGGAGGAACACCAGUGGCGAAGGCGGCUCUCUGGUCUGUAACUGACGCUGAGGCUCGAAAGCGUGGGGAGCAAACAGG
rnacentral:rRNA from 2 species